GGGUCACAUGGCCCGCGGGACAACAUGGCUGCGCCCGCACUAGGGCUGGUGUGUGGACGUUGCCCUGAGCUGGGUCUCGUCCUCUUGCUGCUGCUGCUCUCGCUGCUGUGUGGAGCGGCAGGGAGCCAGGAGGCCGGGACCGGUGCGGGCGCGGGGUCCCUUGCGGGUUCUUGCGGCUGCGGCACGCCCCAGCGGCCUGGCGCCCAUGGCAGUUCGGCAGCCGCUCACCGAUACUCGCGGGAGGCUAACGCUCCGGGCCCCGUACCCGGAGAGCGGCAACUCGCGCACUCAAAGAUGGUCCCCAUCCCUGCUGGAGUAUUUACAAUGGGCACAGAUGAUCCUCAGAUAAAGCAGGAUGGGGAAGCACCUGCGAGGAGAGUUACUAUUGAUGCCUUUUACAUGGAUGCCUAUGAAGUCAGUAAUACUGAAUUUGAGAAGUUUGUGAACUCAACUGGCUAUUUGACAGAGGCUGAGAAGUUUGGCGACUCCUUUGUCUUUGAAGGCAUGUUGAGUGAGCAAGUGAAGACCAAUAUUCAACAGGCAGUUGCAGCUGCUCCCUGGUGGUUACCUGUGAAAGGCGCUAACUGGAGACACCCAGAAGGGCCUGACUCUACUAUUCUGCACAGGCCGGAUCAUCCAGUUCUCCAUGUGUCCUGGAAUGAUGCGGUUGCCUACUGCACUUGGGCAGGGAAGCGGCUGCCCACGGAAGCUGAGUGGGAAUACAGCUGUCGAGGAGGCCUGCAUAAUAGACUUUUCCCCUGGGGCAACAAACUGCAGCCCAAAGGCCAGCAUUAUGCCAACAUUUGGCAGGGCGAGUUUCCGGUGACCAACACUGGUGAGGAUGGCUUCCAAGGAACUGCGCCUGUUGAUGCCUUCCCUCCCAAUGGUUAUGGCUUAUACAACAUAGUGGGGAACGCAUGGGAAUGGACUUCAGACUGGUGGACUGUUCAUCAUUCUGUUGAAGAAACGCUUAACCCAAAAGGUCCCCCUUCUGGGAAAGACCGAGUGAAGAAAGGUGGAUCCUACAUGUGCCAUAGGAUGAAGAAACUCAGGCUCUGGGAAGUAGCUAAGAUGUCUAAGCUCCGAACCAUACUCUCCAACUUCCACGUCCAGCGCUCUUUCCACUUCAAAAUCUUUGGUCAUUCCUUAUUCCUUGGGUAACGCUCAGGCCAAGGUCGGAGGGAUAAGAAAGUCAGUAGAGGCUGGGAGCGUGGCUCAUGCCUGUAAUCCCAGCAUUUUGGGAGGCCGAGGCGGGCGGAUCACCUGAGGUUGGGAGUUCGAGACCAGCCUGACCAACAUGGAGAAACCCUGUCUCUACUAAAAAUACAAAAAUUAGCCGGGCGUGGUGGCCCAUGCCUGUAAUCCCAGCUACUCGGGAGGCUGAGGCAGGAGAAUCGCUUGAACCCGGGAGGUGGAGGUUGCGGUGGGCCGAGAUCGCGCCAGUGCACUCCAGCCUGGGCGACAGAGCGAGACUCAGUCUCAAAAAGAAAAAGGAGAGUAGAAAGGGCUUUGAGGUAGUUAAUAGAAGCAAACAUUUACUGAGUUCUUACAGCAAACCGGAAAGUGUAUUUUCCUUGCCAUUUUCAAAGCACUCCGGAAGAGAGGUACUGUUCCACUGUACGCUGGAAGACUCUAAGGCUGAGCCACAGCUAAUUUACACUCGCCCAAGAGCCCACAGCGUGAGGGAGACCACAGCUAAGGCUGACUCGAGGGGCUGUUUUUAUGCACGACACCGGCUGCGAUCCAUUAAUAGGCCCCACGGCUUAUCCUACCUGUGAGAGACACCUGAGACCAGGGAGGUAAAUGACUCCCCCCGUGAUGCCUCCUUGAGUUCUGAGGACAGGACUGGACAAAAAGCCAGGUUCUCACAAGGCCUCCGGUUCUGCGCUUCAGGGAAUGGACUGAAAAGGACAACACCCUUGCUAAGGUGAUGCCGUGGGUCAACAGAAAAAGGCCCAGGCCGGGGCAUGCACACCUAUUCCCGCGCACCAACGGGUGCGCUGUAAGAGAAGACAAAAGGUCGCGACUGGGAGGCCGUCCCAGCGAGGCGGCUUGAGGAGACCACGUGGGGGAGCCGCGCGCCCGCCUCCCGCGCCGCCUGGCCCCGCCCCUACCUGGAAGGGCGCCGGCGCGGCCCCCGGGGGCCACGCGCCCACCGGCAAGUUUUCCUGGCCGCACGCGACAUCCAGCUGCUCAGUCGGGGCCUCAGGCUUCUCCUUAAACUCCGCCAUCCCACAAGGCCGUGUCGUCUUUGCCGCUUCCGCGAACAUUUACCCGCCUCACGCAACGCCCACUACCCUGACAGUCCUGGGCCGCGCGGUGGAUGCUGGGACUUGUGGUCCCGUGGCCCCACCGCCUCAUGGGAAUUGUAGUUCGUUUCUUCUCAGGAGUGGCCUGGAAGGCGCUUCCCUUCCUUGACUUUUUGGGUCUGGCUCCCGUUUUGAUUUCAGCCAGAGGCACCACAGAUAAUUACAAAACCAUGUAAGGCUCCUCAAACUCAAAAUAAUCUGAAUUGACUUCUUCUGCCAGUCUUGCUUUUUCUUCUUUAAAGUUAACUGGGAAAAUAAUUUGUGAUCUACAGAGCCACUAAAGCAACAAACCAGUUACUCUGUAUUCCUUCACUUCACUAGACUCAUAUAGCUAAGGACGUGGUGGGUAAGUCUUGUUGAUUCUGCCUUCAUGUUCUCAUUUUUGCCUCUUCUCACUUAGUCCUAGGCUCUCUCAUUUCUUGCUUGGACUUUGGAAGUUCUUUGCUUUAAGUCUGUCAUUCUCCAUAUCCCCAAAUCACCCUUACUGCCGCUGCUACAAUGACCUUUGAAGAUCCUUGUCCAGUUAUUAUAUUUUGCUGCUUAGAUUCUUAUUUGCUCCAUUUUCUCUCAAAGUUUACCUUCUAUAUUCUGUCUUAUGAGCCUUUGAGGACCCAGACUUUACCUAUUUCCUUGGUCUCUUUUGCUGCUGUUCUCUGUUGGAACCCCUUGUUCUGUUGACAUUCCCUCAAAAAGCCAUUCUACUUGGGCCUCUGGGCCUUUGUCCACAUUGUUCUUGUAUCUCCAGUGCCUUUACCCAGGACUGUCUGUCUGCUCAGCUCAAGUAGUCCCUUCUCUGUAUCUUUCUUUACCCUGUUUCCCUUAGCAUUGGUUACCCUCUUUACAUUAGUUCUCCUACUUUAUAAGCCAUUUCUUAUGUUCCCUGCAACUAUUUAAUGUAAGCACAGGCAAAACCAUCUUAUUGAACUCAUAAAAAUUAUAUAUAUAUAUAUUGGUGGAGGGUGGGGAGAUAGAUAGAUAGAGAAACAUUUUGUUUUAACUUAAAUGAUUUUGGUACAUUUAUAUGCUAGUCUUUUGAUGUAGGGCCAAAAGAGAAGGAGAGCUAGAGUGUGUGUGUGUGUGUGUCUCUGUAUGUUUGUUUUCUACUGAUUAGAGCUCCAGGUCAAGCUUACUCUGAGUUCCAGUUUUGGUGUCUUUAAAGUGGGGUGGGAACUAAAGGAUAGUGAAGCAAUGGGAUAUCAUGAUCUGUUUUCUUUCCCUAGUCUUUUAUACUUUUCUCACUCACACCCACUUCAAGGGCAAAACAUUUUUUAGUGACUUGCUUUUUUUUCUCCAAGUCUUUACAGAAUGUUCUACUUAGUUAUCCCAGAAGGGAGAAACUCUUUGCACUCAUAGUUCAUCAUCCUUUUUUCAUAAAAUUAUAAUAACAGUUAUACCUGGCAUUAAUAGGUUUGAGAACAGAAAUUAAAGAUCAGCCUUAUAAAUGUGCUAUUCAUGAGCAUGUAUAAAAUCACAUAAUUUUGCACUGCAGUACACAUCUGAUAUAAAAACUUUUUUGAGUACACAUCUGAUAUAAAAACUUUCUUGUGUUGCUGUAAAGAAAUACUUGAGGCUAGGUAAUUUAUAAAGAAAAGAGGUUUAAUUGGCUCAUGGCUCUGCAGGCUGUACAGGUAGUAUGGUGCUGGCAUUUGUUCGGUUCCUGGGCAGGCCUCAGGAAGCUUUGAGUCAUAGUAGAAGGUGAAGAGGAAGCAGGCAUCUCACAUGGUCAAAGCAGGAGCAGUGAGAGAGAGUGGGGGUUGGGGCAGGUGCCACACACACUUUUAAAUGACCGGAUCUUGUGAGAAUUAACUCACUGUUGUGAUGACAGCACCGAGGGGAUGGUGCUUUAGCACCCAUGGGUUUAAUGAGAAACCCGCCCCCAUGAUCCAGUCUUCUCCUACUAUGCCCCACCUCCAACACUGGGGAUUAGAUUUCAACAUGAGGCUUGGAUGAGGACAAAUAUCCAAAUUAUAUCAAUAGGGAAUUGAUUCUAUGUAGAAAAGAAUCAAAAUGUAAGAGUUAGGGGCACAGUAUCUGAAAUCAGCCAUGACUAAAUUUAUAUUCCUACUCUGCAAAUUUCUGACCAUGGGAAAUAAUAGCUAACAUUUAUUGACUUAUUAUGUACCAGAUACUGUUUUUUUAUUUUUUAUUUUUUGAGGUGGAGUCUCACUCUGUCACCCAGGCUGGAGUGCAGUGGCGCCAUCCUGGCUCACUGCAACCUCCACCUCUUGGGUUCAAGCAGUCUUCCUGCCUCAGCCUCUUGAGGAGCUGGGAUUACAGGUGUGUGCCACCACACCCAGCUACUUUUUUGUAUUUUUAGUAGAGCUGGGGUUUCACCGAAUUGACCAUACUGGUCUCAAACUCCUGACCUCAAGUGAUCCACCCAUCUCCACCUCCCAAAGUGCUGAGAUUACAGGCAUAAGCGACGACAUCUGGCCCAGAUAUUGUUUAAACAUUUGAUAUGUAUAAAUUCAUUAAUACCCAUAAUAUGGUACUUGAAACAUCUACCACAGGGUCAUUUCAGGUUCAACUAAACAUUCGGGUUCACAGGACUGUCACUGGCCACACUUGGCAUUAGCUUCACUUGAGAUUAUAGGACAAGAGCCAAAGCCUACCAGCAGAGAGGCCUCAGGUGUACCCCUUCUGUGGGAAUAGUGCUUGCAGUCCACACAGCAGGUCACAGAGCUGCCUGGGAGCUGUUUGUUCUCCCAGAGGGUGGCUCAAAUGCAAGGAGAAUAUAUCCCAUUAAUAGGGUGUGGGGGAAUCCUGAAUUAGAAGCCUUGCCUCUCAGAAGCUAUAGAUUUUAAGGUAGCUGCCUAGUAAAUAUUUUAUCAGAUAUAGUUGUGUACCUAUCCUUCCUUAAAAGAAGAGAUAGUCAUGUAUAUGAUACAAUUAGCUGCUUAUAGUAUAAUUAAGAAACAUAAGAAGGUUUAGGUAAAGUGCUAUGGAUCUUUAGAACUGGUAAAGAUUACUUUUAGCAGGGGAGAUCAUGAAUGAUGGAUAGGAUUUAGGCAUUCCAGGUGGAAGGAACAGGAGAAGCAAAGUAAUAAAAAGAAAGAUGUGGAUAGGAAAGAGUAAUUUCAGAUUGGCUGGAGAUAAGGUUUGUUUCACCCUUCAGGAAUUUUGAAUAGUAUGGGAAUUUCUCAGAUAUUCAGAGAACAUGCUGUUCAUUCAUUUUAAGAAAAGUUUGACCACUGAUUACAUGCAUGGUCCAGUUUACCAAUUAGGGGAAUGUAUACAUGAAGAAGACAUGGUACCCUAGAAAAGCUUGCAGUGUAACAGACAAAUAACUAUAUACUUACAGAAUGUGAUAGAAAUUGUAAGAAUGUUGUGAGAAAAGAAUUAUAAGAGCCAUGAGGAGAACCACACUCCUAUAUUUGCUGUUAUGCCAUUUUUAGUUUUUGACUCUUUCUUGGUAAUACUGUCUGCUAUUUGGAAAAUUUUUUUGAAGGAUCCACUUUAUUUUAUUUUUUCGGAAGCUGUCAGCAGUGGUGCUUCCAGAAUAAGAUAUUUUGUGCAUGCUGGCCCUUUGGUUUAAUUUGUUUUUAUCUUGCUGGCAGAGGAUCCAAAAGUAUUUUAUAGAGUAUGAGAUUAAAAUAAUGAGAGGAUGUUUGCAGGCUGAUAUAACCAAUCUUCAGAAUGCCAAGCUGUCAGUCUUUCAUCUUUUCGGGGUCUAGAAACCUGUCUUAUUUUCUCUAGACAACUGCUUUUCAUUGACCAGGAACCUUGAUCUUCAGAAUUUGUUCUGCAAACCAUUAUAGCUAGAUGGUGGGGAAAAAUGUAUUUCUGGACAUUAAUGAAUUGCCCUAAUAGAUUUCCAUAAACAGGUUUUGGAACUGAAUAUUGCAUUGAUUAUUCAGAUUUCUUUUGGAUUUUUCACUGGCAGAAGAGAAACUAAUCUGAUCAGUAAUAAAAAAAUAAAAAGAAAACAAUACAAUAUAAUAAAACUCUGACAUUUCAUAGGUUCAGUUAUCCUUGGCUAAAUUAUGAGGUAUGACUAUUUGAGCUUUACAUUUAUUAACAAAAGUGGUCUUUAAUUGGGGUGUUUUUAUGCUUUUUUGUUCAGGGUUUUUAUGAAGUUCUGCAUGGCUUUGUAUUCAGAAGCCAUUCUUUUAUCAAAGUUUCACUAGCAUUAUCUGAGCUUAAUAUUCUGGGAUGUACUUUGUAGCCAGUGAUGAAAGGAGGAAAGUCAGCAGAAAUUACUUACAUAUUUGUUAGCAUUUGAAACAUCUUAGCCUUCUAAUAAGAACUAUCACGGCCAGGCACAGUGGCUUAUGUCUGUAAUCCCAGUGCCUUGGGAAGCUGAGGUAGGAGGAUGGAGGAUGGCUCAAGGCCAGGAGUUCCAGGCAAGCUUGGGCAACGUAGCCAGACUCCAUCUCAAAAAAAAAAAAAAAAAAAAAUUCAGGUGUAGUGGCUUGUGGCUGUAAUUCUAGGGAGGCUGAGGUGGGAGGAUUGCUUGAGCCCAGCAAUCCAAGGCUUCAGUUAGCUAUGAUUGUGCCACCGUACUGCAGCCUGGAUUGGGCGACGGAGAGAGACCUUCUCUCUAAAACAAACCCAAAACACCUGACACCAGUAGAUACCAAGUAGGCAUAGUACAGGCACUGGAUCCUCUCAUGAAAAAAGAUUGUUGCAUGAAGUCAUUUUAAAAAGAAGCAUGGUAAUUGAUCCUUUUGGGGAUUUCUGUCCAAUUUGGUGACCAUUUCCCUUGUGAGAACAUGCCAUCCCUCACCCAGCCCGUCUAACGGGGUGGGCUCACAGACAGUUAUGUUUAUAUUACACAGUGAUCUCCUAAAAAGCCUCGGCCCAAGUUUUUAGCUUACAGGUGCACACCUUUUUCAAUCUAGGACAAUUAGGUUCUCUUGGUCAGGAGCUGAGACCAAAUCACAGCUAAAACUAUUAUUUAUAAUUCAGGAGCUGAGAGGUAGGUUUAUUUGGUAUAUAGAUGGAGAAGCAGGGGAAAGUCCGUCUUCCAAGAGAAAAAUAAAGCAGAUGAGUGAUAAGGAGAGAGGACAGCUGUCUAUUUCUGGUUUCAGUCUCUUUUUCGAUUCACAUUACAUAACUAUAUUAUUAUAAUAAAUUCUUCCUUUGGGUUUAGGUUAAGUCAGAGUGGUUUCUGUUACUUUAAACAAUUUUAGCCAGGAAAGGUACUGUGAACAUUUAUAAUGACAUUAUUAUUACCAUUAUUAUCAUUAGACAGUGUGGGUUGGAUAAUUAGCUACUUUGCUCUUGAUAUGGUUUCGCUGUGUUCCCAUCCAAAUCUCAUCUUGAAUUGUAGCUCCUGUAAUCCGCACGUGUCGUGGGAGGGACCCAGUGGGAGGUAAUUGAAUCAGGGGGUUGGGCUUUUCUCCUGAUAGUGAGUAAGUCUCAUGAGAUCUGAUGGUUUUAUAAAAGGGCAGUUCCCCUGCACACGCUUAUCUUGCCUGCUGCCAGGUAAGAUGUACCUUUGCUCCUCCUUCACCUUCCACCAUGAUUGUGAGGCCUCCCCAGCCAUGUGAAACUGUGAGUCCAUUAAACCUCUUUUCCUUUAUAAAUUACCCAGUCUCAGGUAUGUCUUUAUUAGCAGCCUGAGAACAGACUCAUACAGCUCUGUAUAGAAGUUAUAUGAUCUUUAUGAAUUUUUGUUCACUUUAAAAGAUGGGUAAGCUUUUUUUUUUUUUUAACUAUUUUGCCUUUCUGAUGUGUCUUCACUAAAGAGUGCCUUCCCAAAAUAAUAUUAAUAGAAUUUUAUAACAUCAAACAGUAGUACAAAAUAAGAAAUUUCUAUCUGGUGGAAGGGAUAAUAAUACAGUAAUAAUGGCUAAUACUUCUAUAGCACAUAAGUCAUACCCAGUAUUGUUUUUUUUUUAAAAAAGCAAAGGCAUAUGGGUCAUUUUUCUAUAAGAAAAAAUGUGGCAAUUUAUUAAAAUAACUUGAAACUUUUAUCUUACAAAAUUGUGACCCUGUGUUAUGUUUUCCAAAAGACAGCAGUUUACAUUUUUGUGUUUAGACUGCUAUUAAAUAUGUUUUCAGCAGAAUAAAAAAACUUCCAUCUUGUCCUAUGUUUUUAUCAUUGCAUUAUGGUUUCAUGAAACCCAUAAUUUCCCUUGUUGAUAUGAUAAAAAACAUAAAGAUAAAAUCACAAUCAGAAUAUUGUUAGUGUAAGUACUUUAGCUGUGAAGUAAUAUCCAGGAUUGAUGAUUGUAGACUGUCUCAAAAUGUUAUGAAGUCAAAUGUGGAUUGUUUGAUAAUAUGCGAAGAGGUGAAAGAAGAGUAUUAUGUAUUUAUAUAACCUGCAAUAUCACCAGCAAGAAAUUAAUUUCACUCACGGAAAACAUAUGAACAAAUUUAUUAUCAUGCGUAUUCAAAUACUGUUACCAAGGCUAUGAGAGCAGACUUGCUUUGUUUGCAGUUUGACCUUGAAAAGCACAGCCCGCGGUUCGUUCAUUUCACGUUCCAGGUAGUAAGCUUUGCAUACCACCUAUAAACAGAAUUUUUUCUAGAGUACUAGAUCUUCCUUCUCAUCUAUAAUAAGGCACACCACCAGCCUUUUCUGCUUGCAGUUUUGAAAGCAAAGAUGAAGUUUAGUUCCACAAGCGUCCUAUUUUAGAGCAAUCUACCAAAAACAUUCUAAGCCCAGAUCUACAAGUAUCUACAGGAUAAUUUCGCUGGAUACCACCAAAUAUCAUCUGAGACUGGAAUCCUUCUUAGAGACUAUAUUAAUUUUCUGCUUCUUAUAAUGCAACGUUCCUGCAACUAUAUAGGCCCCUGGCAUUCUCACUCUGGUAGCUUCCCAGCCCCAGUUCUAGCAUUUGAGUGGAGAAAGGAAACCAUGGAAACGAAAAACCAAAUGCAAAAAAUUUUACUCAGUUGCCCAAGACUAACUUGUCUAAAGCAUCUCUUGGAAAAAUGUUGAUGAUUUAUAAUUAUUUUUAGAUAUUUCAACCAGGAAAAGUUUGUCGUAAAAAGAAUUCCACAGAGGAAAAAGCUCUUUUCUUUUUCAUUAUCUCAGUAAGUGUGAAUGUGUUAAAGUCAGCGUCGCUGCAGACGGAUCUCUACGUAGGAAUUGAAGAGGACUGUGGAAACUCCUUUUUACUCUCCUCACACAUAUAGUUAGUCCAAAAAGACCUCGCUCAGUGUCUGACUACAGUGCCUGAAAUCCUCAUCAUUAGAACUUCUCCCAUUUGCGAUAAACAUUGCUGUUUCCAUGUCAUGUUUUUUUUUAGAACUCCAGUAUUCUCGGGAGUGAAAAAAAUGGUAAACACAGAUAUGUUUUACAUAUUGCUUUCUUUCCAGACAAGAAGAAACCUGGGCAGCCUGACAACUUAGAGGAAUUGGUGAAGAGGAGGAAAAAAAUGUCAGACACACCAAAUUAACAUUUGUUGUUGUUGUUGUUGAGACAGGUUCUUGCUCUGUUGCCCAGGCUGGAGUGCAGUGGUACACUCUCUACAACUCAGAGGCUCAUUGUACCUCAGAGGCUCACUGCAGCCUCGAUCUCUCAGCCUAAAGAAAUCCUCCUGCCUCAGCGUCCUUUGCAGCUGAGACUACAGGCACACACUAUGAUGCCUGGCUAAUUUUUUAAAUUUUUUGUAGAGAUAGGGUCUUGCAGUGUUGCCUGGGCUCGUCUUGAACUCCAGGGCUCAGAUGAUCCCUCUGCCUUGGCCUCCCAAAGUGCUGAGAAUGAAUGGACGUGGCCACGUGUAACUACUGAAUAGUUGAAAUAUGGCUAGUGUGACCGAAGAGCUGAAUUUCAAAUUUAUCAAUUUUAAUUAAAUUUGAUUUAAAUAGCUACGUAUAGCUAUGGACAGCACAUUCCUAGAUACUAUACUUAAACAUUACACAUAUUUUAAAUUUGAUCCUCACAACAAUUCCACGAAGUAGGCAGUAUUAAUAUCUCCACUGCCCAAGAUCUGAGAACUGAAAUUCCAAUAGAUUAGGUAUUUUAAAAAAUGUAUUUCACAUGUAUGAGUGGUAGGGGUGAAUGUGGGCCUAGGUCUGAAACUCUGCCUCUCUGAAGAUAAAGUUUCUCACCAUUUAUGUUUCUAAGCCUUUCCCAUAUUCAGAGACUACUUUUCUUCUGGCUGCUGUGCAGGAAUGAAAGGAUUAGAAAUCUUGAAAUUAGAAAACAUAAACAGUUUUUCAUCCCAUUGGAAAGUAUAGUGAUUUAUAUAGUGAAGGGCAUUAUGUAGCUUGAGAGAUGUUUUUACUAAGGGUUGUGCUCUUGGGCUUUGAAAAUAUAAUCACAUUAAUUAAUCUGCCUCAAAGGAAACCUUGAUCUCACUGCUGAAUAUGCUAGUCUUACAGCCUGACUACUUAGAACAGUCUAUUAGGCUACUGAAAUUUCUGCUUUGUGACAUUCGAAUGUUAUUACUAUAAUUUUACUAAUUGUGAGUUACCUGAGUGAGGGAACUGAAUAAUAGAAAUCUGUUGCAUAUAAGAUUAUGUCUCUCUUGGUAGUAAUAAAAAUGCCGAGGAAAUAACCAAUUUAUAAAUGGUCAUAGAAGUGAUUUCUAAUUCUAUUCUCUUUAUCUUUUCGGGCUUUUAAAAAUAAGUGAAUGGAGGCAACAAACUGCUCUAUGCCUGUGCCACUCAGGAGAGGCAAAAUAGGUGGCUCUUUGAACUCCAAAACCUUUUAGCUUCAGAAUAGAAAGUCAAGGAAGUUGUGUUUUGGGAAAUUGAGCUUUCUUUGCAACAGUGGAAUGGAUUUUUUCAGUGUCAUUCUAAUCUAAUCAUUAGGAUUAGAACAUAUUACAUAUAAUAUGUAACUCUUCCACUUCCAGUUACAUAUUAUAACUGCACUAUGUGGUUGAUGAAUGAUUGGUCAUAACAGGCAGCUCUGAAUUCCUUUAUCCUGAACCCUGACUCUAGCUUUAAUCCCUCAGUUUGAAAGUCUUUCAUUUAGUUGUUCAUUUAGCUGUUCUCUUAUCAUUUUAAUUUGCAGUUUUUAAAAAAGUCAAGUAUUUUCAAACAUCUUUGCUUUGUUAGUUUGAGCUCUGGAAGAUUAAAUUUCACGUUCUGGAACUCACCCAUGAGCUUAGCUUAGAAGAACAUUGAAUAUAAUUUGUUUUUUACAGAGCCUGGAAAUUACAGGGUUAAUGACACAGGAAACCACUUCUCACUGCAGAUGAAAUAUGUGUGUCUUUUUUCAUCUCUUAGCAAAUUAGGUAAAGUUUUCCCCCAAAGAGCAUUUUUGUUUUUAGUUGGUAAAUUAAACAAGCAGUUCAGAUUGCACUUUCCAGACCCUAGAUUUUGUAGGUAUUUGUUGCUGGGGCUUUUGUCUUAAUGAAGUCUGGCAGUACCUGUUCAGAUGAAAUAGCCAAUUUUACCUUUGCUCUGGCACUUAAUCCAGCCAUCUGCUCUAGCUUUGGCUUUCAAGCACAAAGGGAAAGUACAAAGUAUAGCUAACUUGUUGGUGACAGCUGGUGGGUAAAAGAAUCAUUGUGUUUGACAGUGUCCUUUGGAAUAGACCACGAGGUGAAUAAAAUACAAUAUAUUGCCUCAUCUUAUAGCUGCCUUUAGGUUAGUUGAAAUUUAAAUUUCUGACUCACCCACCUUAUUUUCACUUCUUAGGCAAAGCCCCUUCUUGUCAUGUACUGCAUCAGCCAUAUGUUCUUGGGUAAGGGUAUUGUGUAGACCAACACUGAAGUAGAAAUUCCACUAAACAAAACGCCUUGCGUUUAAUCAAUGACUUAAGACAUGCUAUUCGUUUUAGCCUAUGUGUAUUUUUAAACUAGAAAUGAUCAUGGACAGUAUUUAUAUAUUCUAGGGCAAAUGUUCAUCUUAGAGAAAAGCCAAUACUUUUAAUUUUUUUCCUGCAUUAAAAAACUGUGCUAAUUAAUAAUUGAUAAAUAAGGAAAAUUUUAUUUUUGAUCAAUAGAUUUACAUUUGAACAACUGGAGUUUUAUUCCAAACAUGUUUUUGCAAAUAAUUAGUUGUUUCAAUCUUUGGUUGUACUUUUUAGUGAGCGAAUGAAGCUAUUGGCUGAUCCUCAAACAUAGUUAGCUACUGGAAGCAACCUUGUAUCUAAAACACCAUGUUAGCAUUGGGAUGAGGUAGCUGAAGUGAGGUGAGAGGAAGAGAAGCUCACAGAAGAGAGUUGGCAAAAGACGUUUGGUGGAAGGUUAUUUAAGAUAGAAUUUAUUCUAAUCCAGAUCAGAGAAGCAGCGAGAGAUUAUAUAGUUGGAAAUGUGGCCCACAUCAACCCUAAAAGAUAAGGACAUUUUUUUGCUUCCCUGUUGGAAAGUAUUUGGAAUUCAUGGCAAUUUAGUUUUCCACUUUGCACUUGGAAACUUAAUUUCGUCUUUCCCCAAAGGUCUAUAUAAAGAACCCAUUUUCUGCCAAGGACCAAUCAAACAGGAUCAUGGAAUCACUGAUAGAAGUGGUAAAAAGCGACUUCAAUUCCUUCCCUUGGAGAAGUAUAAAAUCCUUAUUCACUAAACAUGAAACCAAGUUAUCUAUUAUUCACUGCAAACCUUUUCUGGAACAAAGUGAGGCAUAAAUUAUUUAUUUUGCAUUAUGAAAUAAAGUGGUAAAAAGAAGGAGAGAGGAAGGCACUUUAGAGUGAGUAAAAAUGGAAGAGAAAUGCAGGAGACAAGGAGAGAGAGCAGAGAUGAGGGGGAGAGAGAGAUGGAUUUCAAGCAGGAAUAAGAUGGGAGUCAGGGCAAGCGAAAAUAUCUGGAUUAUUUAUAAUUAAAGAGUUUAUGUCUCCUAUAAUGAUCUGGCCUAUUGUUAAGCUGGGACUACCAUCAGUGUUAACAUAUCUGAAAAUUUCUCAUUGAAAUUCUUGAUUGUCAUUUAACAAUUGAAUGUUUUGAGGAUCUGCUACUUGCAGUGCACCAUGAUAGAGUUAUCGGGAAUAGUUAUUAUAAUAUUUGGCGGACACAUACUAUGUGCCCGACAUUAGACAAAACAUUUUAUGUGGGUUCUUUUAUCCUUAAAAGAGUCCUGUGAGGUAGGCAGUAUCACUACCUCUCCUCACUACAUAUUACUGUAGAGACAAUGAGAUAUGAAGAAGUUAAAGUUGGUCAACAAAGUUUUACAAGUGUUCGGAUUUACAGUUGUUUUUUUUCCUGACUUCCAUUUUGUAAAUGCACCUACCAUGGCUAAUUUCAAGCUACCAACACUUUAACAACCAGCUUGCAAGCUUUCUGAAUGUUAAGCUAUUGAUGAGAGUAGGUAUGAACUGGCUUCAGUACACGUCUGAAGGUGACUGUCCACAUAUCCUCAAAAUACCUACAGUCUAGCAGGGGAGAUAAGACUAUACAAUAUGAAGUAGAAAAUAAGAAGAACCAGAUAAGGCAGCAUGGAAAUUUAGAGAAGAGAUAAGUUUGAUUUAGAAGGUUCUAUGAGGGGGACAUUUAAACUGUAUUUUGAGGAGCGGGUAGUAUUUGAAGAUGUAGAUUUGGGGCAGAAGACCUGGAGGGGAAGGGAAAAGCAUGAACAGCUGAUGUUCCAUGUUACCUUCUCGUUCUUAAAAUGUGCUUUGGCUCUGUAGCAGCAAUACCCUUACGGUCCACAAGGUGGUGUGAUAACCCUAUCCUUUUGUCCAUUUAAUUACAAAUGAUAAAAUACCCAUUUUGCAUAAACUGGACAAGAAGUUUUUACUCUGUUGAAAAUGAGGAAAGAGUUAAAAAAUGUUUGUAGCAAAUUGUGAUGAGAAAAUUCAGAUAAACGUUUUCCUUUGCUGUGAUUUGUUUAGACUCACAUUUACACAAUCUAAGAGAAAUUUAUGUUCAAGUUAUAACGAGUACAUAGGCAGUUGUAAAAUGACUGAGUGAAUAUGUUUGACAAAAGAUGGAAAAUACUGUCUAAAGAUGCUAAACUUGGGAAUGUGUUUUAUUUGUCUGAGAGUUAAAAAUUGGGUAUGUCUUUUAAGUUUCAUUGUGAUUAAAAAACCAACCCAGCAUAAUUUAAAUUCAUUCACCAGAUUGAAUGGCUACAGUGUGCCACUCAUUAUGCCAUGUGUGAUUUGCCUAUUAUGCCUUAUACCUGGAUCUCAUAUCUAGAUCUGCCAAUAGUUGCAAAAAUGCAACUUAAUCAAUUAUGGAAGACGUUUUGAAAUGUUUUGUUGUUUUUGUUGAUAACACAAUUUAUUUGAUGCUAGAGUCAUUCAUAAUAAAGAAAGGUUUAUUUUUAGCAUUUGUUCAUGUAGUUAUUCAGCGUGUUUAUUAAGUACCAACUGUGUGUUGGCCAUUGUGCUAGGUGCUAUUUUAAAUGGUCGUUUAGUUUACAGAGUGCUCUAGCUAGAAACCCUACAACCAGAUGCUUUACCCCUUCUGGAUGAUAGCAACAAAGAAAAUGGGUUUAAAUUAAGAGAAGGUAGAUCCAGUUGACAAAAGGAAAAGAGUACUGUAAUGGGUGAUGGAGGGUGAGUAUGGAGGGGGUUCCUUGUAGGAAAUCUAUAAGAACAGAAUUGAUAUAAUUAAGAUAUAUACUUGCUUGAAGGCAAGGGCUUAAGCUCUGACUCAUAGAGCUUCCUAUCUUAUUUUAGGUCUCUAAUUGCUAGUGUAGUAAUGUAAGAACACCCUUCAACAGACAGUCUAUGUGUGACCGAUUUACACCACACUGGCCCAGUGCGGUUCCUUGCUCUUUGGAGCCUCUUUCCUCACCCAUAAAAUGAGGUUGAUAAUGCCAGUCUCAUAGGAUUGUCCUGGAGAUUUAACUGAGCAGGAAAUACAGGAUUUAUUUUGGAGUCAGCUUUGUAAGUGCUAAGAGAAGGAGGAGAUCCUUGGAUUCUUGCUCCUCCCCAAGUGGGACUAUCUUGGCCUCCAGCUGCUCUUUCACCUCCAGUCUGAGUUUCUCAGGCUUCCUUUCUGUCACUAUCUUCCCCAUUUUCCCGAAACCUCGUAGUUGCUUUCAGUGUUGUUCAGUUCUGGUUUGGCUGGGAUAGGGUUUAAAAUAGCCCUCACUCUGAAUGUGAUGGCAUUACUGCCCACCAGGAGCAAAUUAUGCUAUGUACUGUAGCAGAAAAGGUUGUGUGAUAAUGAAUAAAGAGAUGGAGUUGGUAGAAAGAACAACACCACUGUGGGCUUGAGGUCCUUCUUGAUUUUCAUGGAUAAAACAGUAAAUAAUAAGGAAGUUUAAGAGAACGUUGUGAAGUUCCGAAACCAUCUUCCUUUGGGGGCAGAAAUUAAAUUGUAUUUAGAAACAAUGGAGGGCUUUGUAGGUUCAAUUUUUUUUUUUUUCUAGACAGAGUCUCGCUCUGUUGUUCAGGCUGGAGUGCAAAUGACACGAUCUUGGCUCACUGCAACCUCCACCUCCCAGGUUUCAAGCAAUUCUCCUGCCUCAGCCUCCACUCUGAGUAGCUGGGAUUACAGGUGCAUGCCACCAUGCCCAGCUAAUUUUUGUAUUUUUGGUAGAGAUGGGGUUUCACCAUGUUGGUCAGGCUGGUCUCAAACUCCUGACUUUGUGAUCUGCCAGCCUUGUAGCUUCUAAUUUUUGAGUGGGGUGAUUGUAUGGCAAUACUAAGCUAGGUUAGCGGGUAUUCAAUUUUUCAUACCACUGUAGAGUUAGGAAAGGGAGCUCAACGGGAAGAGCUGUUUCAGGGACAGAGACCCAUGAUAGUAAUUCUUUCAGAAUGCUUUUACAUCUAUCCAAAAGCUUUGGAAUAUUAAUUUUUUUAAAGUAGAAAGACACAGAAAAUAAUAAUUUCUGGUUCUUAAUCUUUGCCUAAAGCUGAUGACAUUUUUGUGCUGUGCCAACAGGGAGAUUCUGUCCAUGCAUAGUUUUUUCCCUUGUCAGUACGUUUGCUUACUGCUCAGAUGUAUUAACAGAAAUUAGGAAACUGGUAUCUAUGUACCAGUGAUGAAGCAAUUAAGAACUUCAUUUGUAUUAUUGUAUAUUCCUCACCUUCCCUAGGUGUUGUCUGGUGAGGUAGUUCUAAAUGGUCAUAGACCUAGAUUGCAGAUAGCAGGUGCCUGAACUCUCUGGGGUCAUUAUUUUGCCUUUGCAUGGGAUCAUCUUUAAAUUUUUCAUACCACUGUAGAGUUAGGAAAGGGAGCUAAAAAGAUGAGCAGAAGAGAAGUAUGGAUGUCAGAGCAGUAGCAUUAAUUAUCCAAAUCUGUGAAUUAUCAGAAAGCUUACAAAAUAUUCUAUUUCCCUAUAUUGGAAGAUUUACUAAUUUACUUUAAGCUUUGCUUGGUUGAUAAUAAUAGAAUUUUCUAAGCACAAACAACUAGCUAAUGCAGAACUAACAAGAUGACAAGGAAAAGCACUAUAUUCUUUGAAUCUGUUGUUCCUAAACUGCACUGAGGCACCUUGGGACUCCAAAGGGAAUACUGUAGUAUAUUUUAAAUAUUCAAGGGAAACAGUGAUAUUCAAUGUCUGUGCAAAUUACUAGCUCUAGGUAGGUCAUGGUUUCAACAUUAGAUUGUGCCACGUUCCUUUUGGUGAGGUCCUAUCUUUGUGAAGCUGUGUUUUUGGUAAUUGCUGUAAUACUAAGCAAAUACCAGUGAAAAUCAAUGUGGAAUGAGAAAUGAGAGUGACAGCAUCCAAUCUGAUUCCAAAGUUAGAAGGUUGUGCGGUGACCAACAAGCACACACAUCCCAUUAGUAAGGAAAUGUGUGAAAGAUUUUUUUUUUUUACAAUUUAUGUUCAUUAUUCUUCUAAAUGGCUAUUUGGAAAAUAAAUGUUUAUUAAGUUUUUUGAAUCUUUACUGUGAACAACUGAUGUUUUACUGCCUCAAUUUCUGAAAGGUUAUUUUCUUAUUUUGUUAAGUUGCUGGUUCUGAACUUUUUGGUCUCAGGUUCCCUUUAUAUUCUUAACAAUAGUUGAGGACCCCCUGAAAGCUUUGCAUUGUGUUGUUCUGUCUACCAGUAUUUAACAUAUUAGGAAUUAAAACUGAAAACAUACAAGAACUCAGGAACAUAUAGCACACAUUCCAUUAGCUGUGAGAAACAUGAUGUCAUGUAGCCUCUGGAAAACACAUACACUUGUGAGAGAAUGACAGUUACAAGGCAAAUGACACUUAAGUAUUAUUAUGAAAAUAAUUUUGACAUUGCAGACCACCUGUAAUGAUCUCGGGUAUCCCAGGCAUCCCUGGACCACACUUUGAGAACAUUGCAAUAGAUGGUUUUACAAUAACCUAAAACAUAAAUCCAGGCUGCAGUGAUACACCCAUUGCAUUGUUCUGCAAGUUCUGUGUAAAUAUUUCAUGUCUAAAAUGCUUCAUAAUUUUUAUCUAUAGUACAUAGUUUUACAAGUGUACGUUAGGUGUUCUGUGCUACGAUGGUGUUAUGAUGGAUCUUAAUGUUUUACAUUUGCCUUAUUGACACUGAUAAAACAUCUUUGAACUUAUUAUUUUAUAAGCUUUAACUUGCGAAACUUAUUUGUAAUAUUCUUUUAUAUUUUCCUCAUUAAUGAUUGCAUUUUCUCUUGGAAUCAUGGGCUUUAACAGAACAUGACUGCUGGUGUGAUGAAAAUGAAAUUUAAACAAUAAAACCUUCAGCACCA